rnacentral:rRNA from 1 species
GACGUAGGGGCCGAGCGUUGUCCGGAAUUAUUGGGCGUAAAGAGCUCGUAGGCGGUUCGUCGCGUCGGCUGUGAAAACCCGGGGCUCAACCCCGGGCCUGCAGCCGAUACGGGCAGACUAGAGUUCGGCAGGGGAGACUGGAAUUCCUGGUGUAGCGGUGAAAUGCGCAGAUAUCAGGAGGAACACCGGUGGCGAAGGCAGCUCGCUGGGACGGUACUGACACUGAGGCGCGAAAGCGUGGGGAGCGAACAGGAUUAGA